rnacentral:rRNA from 1 species
CCUACGGGCGGCAGCAGUGGGGGAUAUUGGACAAUGGGGGAAACCCUGAUCCAGCGAUGCCGCGUGAGGGAAGAAGGUUUUCGGAUUGUAAACCUCUGUUGAGGGGGACGAUAAUGACGGUACCCCUUUAGGAAGCCACGGCUAACUACGUACCAGCCGCCGCGGUACUACGUAGGUGGCGCGCGUUGUCCGGAAUUACUGGGUGUAAAGGGAGUGUAGGCGGGAAAGCAAGUCAGAAGUGAAAACUAUGGGCUUAACCCAUAGCCUGCUUGUGAAACUGUUUUUCGUGAGUGAGGUAGAGGCAAGAGGAAUGCGUAGUGUAGCGGUGAAAUGCGUAGAUAUUAGGAAGAACACCAGUGGCGAAGGCAGCUUGCUGGGCUUUUACUGACGCUGAGGCUCGAAAGCGUGGGGAGCAAACAGGAUUAGAUACCCGAGUAGUC